rnacentral:rRNA from 1 species
AUUGAACGCUGGCGGCAGGCCUAACACAUGCAAGUCGAGCGAGCGGCGGACGGGUGAGUAAUGUAUGGGGCCUGCCCGAUAGAGGGGGAUAACUACUGGAAACGGUGGCUAAUACCGCAUACUAUUGGAUAACCCAUAUGGGAUUAGCUAGUAGGUGUGGUAAAGGCUCACCUAGGCGACGAUCGCCAGCUGGUCUGAGAGGAUGAUCAGCCACACUGUGGAUAGAACACUGCCCAGACUCCGACGGAGGGAGCAGUGGGGAAUAUUGCACAAUGGGGCGAAGCCGUAAACUGCCAGGCCGCGUGAAUGAAGAAGGCCGUAGGGUUUUAAAGUACUUUCAGCUGGGUGGCGUUACCCGCAGAAGAAGCACCGGCUAACUCCGGGCCAGCAGCCGCGGUAAUAC